CAUUGCUCCACUACUCCCUGCGCCUCCCUAACUGAUGUGUUUGUCCAGUUGCAUAUGCAACUUGUAUGCACUCCUGACACGGUGGUGUCCUUUGCUGUCGUAAUGACAGACCAUGAAAUCACUCACCCCCUCGUGGAGAGGGAUUUGCAGAAUGUGACGCGCAUCAUCCAACCAGAACGUGUCCUUCACGAUUUGCUCAUCCCACGAGCCUGUCACACGCAGAUUAGUUCGCUCACAUGUGUCAGCAGGUUCUGGCCUCUUGGGGUGAUCACUUUCCUUGACCAAGGCCGUGAAAUCCAUGGGUCAGACCAUAUGUUCAACUGUCUACCAUCCCCA
rnacentral:lncRNA from 1 species